rnacentral:rRNA from 1 species
CUACGGGGUGCAGCAGUGAGGAAUUUUGCGCAAUGGGGGCAACCCUGACGCAGCAACGCCGCGUGAGUGAAGAAGGCCUUUGGGUCGUAAAGCUCUGUCAACAGGGAAGAAGUUAUAAUUAUUUAAUAGAUAAUUGUAUUGACGGUACCUGUGGAGGAAGCGCCGGCUAACUCCGUGCCAGCAGCCGCGGUAACACGGGGGGCGCAAGCGUUAUUCGGAAUUAUUGGGCGUAAAGGGCGCGCAGGCGGUCUUGUCCGUCAGGUGUGAAAGCUCGGGGCUCAACCCCGGAAGUGCACUUGAACCAGCAAGACUUGAAUACGGGAGAGGAGAGAGGAAUUCCUGGUGUAGAGGUGAAAUUCGUAGAUAUCAGGAGGAACACCGAUGGCGAAGGCAUCUCUCUGGACCGAUAUUGACGCUGAGGCGCGAAGGCGUGGGUAGCGAACGGGAUUAGAUACCCGGGUAGUC